rnacentral:rRNA from 1 species
CCUUUACUGACGCUAAAGCUCGAAGGUGCGGGUAUCGAACAGGAUUAGAUACCCUGGUAGUCCGCACGGUAAACGAUGGAUGCCCGCUGUUUGCGAUACACUGUGAGCGGCCAAGCGAAAGCGUUAAGCAUCCCACCUGGGGAGUACGCCGGCAACGGUGAAACUCAAAGGAAUUGACGGGGGCCCGCACAAGCGGAGGAACAUGUGGUUUAAUUCGAUGAUACGCGAGGAACCUUACCCGGGCUUGAACUGCCGGCGAACGAUACAGAGAUGUUGAGGCCCUUCGGGGCGCCGGCGGAGGUGCUGCAUGGUUGUCGUCAGCUCGUGCCGUGAGGUGUCGGCUUAAGUGCCAUAACGAGCGCAACCCCUCUCCGUAGUUGCCAUCGGGUGAUGCCGGGCACUCUGCGGACACUGCCACCGUAAGGUGUGAGGAAGGUGGGGAUGACGUCAAAUCAGCACGGCCCUUACGUCCGGGGCUACACACGUGUUACAAUGGGUGGUACAGAGGGCAGGCGUCCGGCAACGUCCGUCUAAUCCCGAAAGCCAUCCUCAGUUCGGACUGGGGUCUGCAACCCGACCCCACGAAGCUGGAUUCGCUAGU